rnacentral:lncRNA from 1 species
AUUAUCUACAUGGAUUUUCUUCUAUUCUUCUAUUUCAUUGCAACCCUAUACAAAUUCAGCCCCAUUACUCCACUGAGAUGAAUGACCUCCUUGUUGCAAAGGUGCACAUGCAUGUCAUGUACUCUCCAACAGCCAAAGAUGCCUUUUUGAACAAGAUGGUCGCAUCUGUAAAUCUCAGCUACUGGCUAAACUAUGUGAAACAGUGUUAGAUUCAGAAAAAUGACUGGGAAAGUAAAAGAUUGAGACUAUGUCUUGAAGGUUGUUGUCAUAGAUUUUGAUUUAUAAUCAAAUUUUCUUAAGAGUUUUCUGAUGAUAA